CUGAUGCAGCAACGCCGCGUGAGGGAUGACGGCCUUCGGGUUGUAAACCUCUUUUAGCAGGGAAGAAGCGAAAGUGACGGUACCUGCAGAAAAAGCGCCGGCUAACUACGUGCCAGCAGCCGCGGUAAUACGUAGGGCGCAAGCGUUAUCCGGAAUUAUUGGGCGUAAAGAGCUCGUAGGCGGUUUGUCGCGUCUGCUGUGAAAUCCCGAGGCUCAACCUCGGGCCUGCAGUGGGUACGGGCAGACUAGAGUGCGGUAGGGGAGAUUGGAAUUCCUGGUGUAGCGGUGGAAUGCGCAGAUAUCAGGAGGAACACCGAUGGCGAAGGCAGAUCUCUGGGCCGUAACUGACGCUGAGGAGCGAAAGGGUGGGGAGCAAACAGGCUUAGAUACCCUGGUAGUCCACCCCGUAAACGUUGGGAACUAGUUGUGGGGACCAUUCCACGGUUUCCGUGACGCAGCUAACGCAUUAAGUUCCCCGCCUGGGGAGUACGGCCGCAAGGCUAAAACUCAAAGGAAUUGACGGGGACCCGCACAAGCGGCGGAGCAUGCGGAUUAAUUCGAUGCAACGCGAAGAACCUUACCAAGGCUUGACAUAUACGAGAACGGGGCCAGAAAUGGGCCAAUUCUUUGGGACCCUCGUUAAACAGGUGGGGGCAUGGUUUGUCGUCCACUUCGGGGUCGUGAAAAGUUUGGGGUUAAAUUCCCGCCAAGGGAGCCCAACCCUUUUUUUCUUUGUUGGCCGGCACGUAA
rnacentral:rRNA from 1 species